CCUACGGGAGGCAGCAGUGGGGAAUAUUGCACAAUGGGGGAAACCCUGAUGCAGCGACGCCGCGUGAGUGAAGAAGUAAUUCGUUAUGUAAAGCUCUAUCAGCAGGGAAGAAAAUUACGGUACCUGAGUAAGAAGCCCCGGCUAACUACGUUCCAGCAGCCGCGGUACUACGGAGGGGGCAAGCGUUAUCCGGAUUUACUGGGUGUAAAGGGAGCGUAGACGGCAGUGCAAGUCUGGAGUGAAAGUCGGGGGCUCAACCCCCGGACUGCUCUUGAAACUGUACGGCUGGAGUGCAGGAGAGGUAGGUGGAAUUCCUAGUGUAGCGGUGAAAUGCGUAGAUAUUAGGAGGAACACCAGUGGCGAAGGCGGCUUACUGAACUGUAACUGACGUUGAGGCUCGAAAGCGUGGGGAGCAAACAGGAUUAGAUACCCCUGUAGUC
rnacentral:rRNA from 1 species